UUACAGGGUAGCAAUAUUCUGUAGUUGGAGCGGCGCAAGGGUGCGUAACACGUGGGUAAUCUGCCAUGAAGUUUGGGAUAACUCGCUGAAAGGCGAGCUAAUACCGGAUGUGACGAUUGGAAGGCAUCUUCUGAUCUUCAAAGUUGGGGACCGUAAGGCCUGACGCUUCAUGAUGAGCCCGCGGCCUAUCAGCUAGUUGGUGAGGUAACGGCUCACCAAGGCUAAGACGGGUAGCUGGUCUGAGAGGACGACCAGCCACACUGGAACUGAGACACGGUCCAGACACCUACGGGUGGCAGCAGUCGAGAAUUUUUCACAAUGGGGGAAACCCUGAUGGAGCGACGCCGCGUGGGGGAUGAAUGGCUUCGGCCCGUAAACCCCUGUCAUUCGCGAACAAUGCCUGUGUAUUAACACCAUACAGGUUGAUAGUAGCGGAAGAGGAAGGGACGGCUAACUCUGUGCCAGCAGCCGCGGUAAUACAGAGGUCCCAAGCGUUGUUCGGAUUCACUGGGCGUAAAGGGUGCGUAGGCGGUCGGGUAAGUCUGAUGUGAAAUCUCACAGCUUAACUGUGAAACUGCAUUGGAUACUAUUCGGCUUGAGGUCUGGAGGGGGGACUGGAAUUCACGGUGUAGCA
rnacentral:rRNA from 1 species